AGUGCCAAGAACGCGCACACGCCCAGAAAGUAUCGAGUAGCGUACGAUGAGCGACGGCUGCAUGGGCUCUGUCGUAGACGUGCAUAUUGGGCACGUUGUCAUCCCUCAUGCCAGCGCGGCCGCAGCAGCCGAAGCAGCCGAAGCGGCUGUGGUGUUCCCGUCGGCCGGGCCGGCGCACAAGAAAGCGCGCAUCGAAGCUGUGGCGACGCGGAGCAGCGCUUCGGCGCCCGCGGAUGUUGUGAUCGUUACCGCGUGGUCGGAAGAGCGUAUCACCGACGCUCUUCGACGCUACGCUGUCGCUGCCCUAGAAGCGGCUUCAUGUGAGGCGGCGGCGGGCAGUGCUUCGUCCCCCUCCACCGCUGCUGCUGCUGCGGCUGUUCUCAAGGCUGUGAAUGAUGCUGCCAGCAGCUGGGUGGCCGUGUGGCCAGCGGUGCGUCUCUCUCCGACGCCUGCAGACAUGACUGGUAGCGGUGGCGAGGCAACGACAUCCACCAUGGCCAGCUGGUCGACAGUCAGCUUCUCCUUUGUACCUGGGGCUCUCGAGUCAACCGCCUCCGCUACUGCGAAGGGAGCCCACGCCGGCAUCAGCAAGGCAACCGUGCCGGACGCUGCGCCCGCCGUGGACGCCGUGACGCUUCGUGUCUUGGCUGCAAUCUCUCUUCCCCGUGGCCUCUGCGUGCCCUACCGAGGCAUCGCGACUGCGGUCACGGCUGGCGGCUGCGCUGGGUGUGUAUCUGCCGUGCUCACCGAGUCCAUCCAAAUCCGCGCCGCCACAGCAACACCUCCGGCUGCGUCGUCUUCUGUGCCGCACUCACCUGCGUCUAGGUCGGCGGCGUCCCCAUGCACGUAUGGCAUGCUGCCGGCGGAGCUGCGGGCGAGACCUAUCUUUGUUGUUGGGGCCGGCGGCAUCGGCUGCGAGGUGCUCAAGGUUCUGGUGCUGAGCGGCUUCACGCAGGUCCACCUCAUCGACCUCGACACGAUCGACGCGACGAACCUCAAUCGACAGUUUCUCUUCCGGGUGGCAGAUGUCGGGAACUCAAAGGCGGACACGGCCCGCCGCGCCGUGCUUGACUGGUUCGCGGCAGCCGAUGACCCGGCACCCGAGCACGUCAGUGUUCUCCGUGGCCGUCGUACGCCGCCGAGCAUUGUUGCGUACCACGACAACGUCAAGGCUGAUCGCUACGACGACGCUUUUUACCGGCAGUUUGCCGUGGUGCUGAGCGCGCUGGACAACGUGUCGGCACGACAGCAUGUGAACCGCAUGUGCAUGCGCAACAACAUCCCCCUCAUCGAGAGCGGCACGAUGGGGUACAACGGGCAGGCGCAGCCCAUCCUCAAGAACGUGUUCGAGUGUUACGACUGCCGGCCAAAGCCGCCCGAGACGAGGACGUUUGCCGUAUGCACCAUUCACGCGCGCCCGACGACGAUGGUGCACUGCGUGCACUACGCGAAGGAGCUGUACGAAGUUCUUUUUGGCAGCGACUCGUCGGACAUGGAUGGCAAGGGCGCGAGCGCCCUCUCGGAUGUUGGUGCCACGGCCGAGGCCGGCAGCGGCUCUGCCACGCCCUUGCAAGUGGAUAAGCAGCAGCACGGCGCAACAAGGCCGACUGAUGGGGGCGAGCUGUCGUACCUGCGCGCCAUGGUGUCUGACUGGCGACGCCGCGGGAAGCUGGCGGCGUCGCCAGGGUGCACCGGCGCACCUACGUGCGCCUUGGUCGAGGCUUCGUCUACGCUAGGCCACAAUGAUGUUGGUGACCGUAGUGGACGUGAAGGCAGCCGUGCUUCGUCCGCUGCUGCCCUCGCUCUCGAACUGCUGCGCCUGCUUUUCGUGACCAAAGUCGAGGAACUCCUGUCUUUGAAGACGUCCUGGCCAACGGAGCCGCCGGAGCCGCUGAGUCGACGCGAUGUCGAUCGCGUUGCGGCGGCGCACAUCUCCGCGAAUGCCACCGGGGCAUCACCGGCGCCGCUAUCGGGGGAUCAUGUGCUGUCGGUGCAGGACUGCAUGGAACUGUUCGUCAGGGCGGUGACGCAGUGUCUUGCCCGUCCAACCGGGUUGACCUUCCGGAAGGAGGACGACGCAGCGACUUCCUUCGUCAGCGCUACCGCAAACAUGCGCGCGCACGUGUUCCACAUCGCGGAGCAGUCGCUCGAGGACGUGCGGAGCAUUGCCGGCUCCAUUAUUCCGGCUAUCGCCACGACCAACGCGACUAUCGCCGGGGCCGUGGUGCACGAGUUGAUCUCGCUGCUGCGCAGCAGUAGCAGCAGUUUCUCCCAGCCUGCGAGCACGAGUGCUGCUCAGCUGGCACCACUGUCGCAGGCAGAGGUGACAGGCGUGUCAGCCCCCGUGUCCAUGCAGACAUCGCCCCGCGCGCACGUUGUGUACACCCGCAAGGUGCCACAGGUGCGCCGCCGCCGAGUGCCGUUGCCGCCAGGCCAGCGAUACACUACCCCCGCUCUCUUCAUGGAAUAUGCCGGUGACGACGCACCUUCGGCGAACGAGAGUGCCUCGAAGUUUGCUGCCCCCUGUGCGCCGCUGCAGGCGGCGCUGGCGUUGGUAGGCGCGGAGGACAGCACCGCAUAUCUUCCCCGUAUGUCUGGCGCCGCAGAAGGGGGCGGCAAGGCGAGGCGAAGUGUAGCCGUGAUGGACCACUACCUCGUGCACAGCACCGCGCCGAAUCCACCGAACCGCCUGCACUGCGGCGUUUGCCAGGACGUGCAUCCAGAAGUGUGCGUUACGCUCGAUCUGCGCUCUGCAACGCUCGGCCAGCUUGCCCACCUUGUCCUCGAGAGUGCAUUGGGGUUGGAGGCUCCGUCAGUCAGUUACGGAUCCACCAUGCUGUAUGAGGAUGAGGACUACGAAGAGCUGGCUGACCACAUCCUCGCCGAUGUGCUGCAGCUUCCACCCGCCGAGGCAGGUGGGGUCGCCCACCAACGUCAGAGCUACACUCUCACCGCUGACGCGCUCAACAAGGACGUACCAUGGAGUGUAGUGCUGACGCAUGACGACAAGGGGGCGGCGACAUCAGCGCCGUCACCGUCAACCGUGUUCUUCCAGAUCUCCGGACUAGAGGAGGCAAAGGCGGCUGAAGAGAGAGCCUUGGCCCGUCUCGCGGCGCAGCAAGCGCAACAAGAGCCGCCUGCUGAAGAAGACGAGGAAGAAGCCCUCGGUGCACCGCCAGGAACGACAGGCCUCGCUUCUUCAGCAGCGGCCACGACUGCACCGGUGGCGGUGGAGUUCAUUGUAUCAGAUGACGACGAGGUGCUGGACGUGACGCCUGCAACGAACGCUCCAUCGAACGUCGCGGCAAAGGAGGACAUCGUGCUGCUGGACUAGCGGUGCGUGCGUGCGUGUGGAGCGCGUGCACCGCCGUGACGACUUGCCAUGAAUCACAGGCGUGCACGCGCGGCGACACGGGAGUGCAAGAAGGCAGCAAUCUCUCUCUCCGCAAUGCUGGCGGCGCGGAUUGCUUAAUCCUCGCUCUGUGCGUGUGCCUCACGGCUCCACGGCGCCGCCCUCCACCCACCUAUCAUAAGCCGGUGAAAGAGCUUGCGCACGGCUGUUGACGUGUGCGUUCUCCGGCUGCUGCGGCUGCCUCGCGCCUUCACAGGCAAUGGGCAUCAUCGUGCACGACCUCUCUCCG
rnacentral:misc_RNA from 1 species